ACUAAGAUAUCUAAUAUUUCAAAAUUCCAUUGUAAGGCUUAAAAUGGCUGUACUGGAUUUUUUGUGUUCUGUCCCAAAUCUAUACACAAAAUCUGAUUUGCUUUCAUUCUAUUCCUAAGAGGAUGAGGCAGGAGAGGGCCCGCCUUCUCCAGAGAUGCUGAUUCGCUUUGAUUCUAUUCCUAAGAAGAUGAGGCAGGAGAGGGCCCCCCCUUCUCCAGAGAUGCCACCCAUGGAAGAGGAAGCAGGUCUGAAGCCUUGGGUUCGAGCCCUGGCACCAACAAAACCUCAAACUACAGAUGCUGGUUGAUUGGCAGGAUCAAGAUGAGUUUAAUCUCUUACACAUCACAAUGAUGUUUGAGGUCAUAUUUCCAAGCAGGUUGGCAUGCUCCUUCCAGGUUCACUUGGCAUGUUGCCGUUCUUCCCCGACACCAGAUCCUUGAAAAGUCAGGGUAGUGAAAUAAAUAAUGAAAUUCCCCACCCAUCAUCCUUGGAGCUUCAAGUUACCUCACAUAGCAACGAGGAGUUUGCAAAUGUGACAAGGUAAGGAUUGGAGAUUGGGAUGGGAUCCAAAUUAUCCAAGAGGCCUUGACAGCCACUCGUGUCCUCUGGAAAGUGAGACAGAAGCAGAGCCAGAAACUCUGGAGCCCACUUAAAUCCUCUGCAGCAAACAGAAAACUCUCCCCUGAGUCUCCAGGAAAAUGACUUUGAACUUCUGGCUGCUAGAAUUGUAGGAAAAGAAGGUUUUGAGGUUCACAACUGUUUGGGUUGUAUUCUCUUUGUUGUGCGAAGAACACAAGGAAGCCACCAGGUCGCCUGGAUUGGGUAGAAAGGGAGCCUGGUAUUGCUCCUUAGCACUGGUGCCGCACUCGUGCCAAACCCGGAAGACACCAAGACAGCAUCAGAGCGGCUGGACUUCCUUCCCUUACAGAUAGGCUGGGUGACAGGAUGGCUUCCACUCUCCAGGGGGAUGCUGACAAUCGGACCCUGGGGAGUUAGAGCUUGCCUCACUUCCCCUGCCUUUAAAGUGGUACACAUGCCUGAUUCCUACUGGGUAAUUUGCAAGGGUGAGAUGAAAUCUUGGGUAUCGUACACACCGCACACAGCAAACGCUGUGCAUGUGACAAUCGCGUCGUCUCCGGGACAGCCUUCCACUGUAGGAAUGACAUCCACUGUCCCCGCCCGAGUCUGCCCAGCCCAAAAUGAUGAAUAGACAAUAAAUCGAAGCAUCAAACCUG